GUGGAAUUUGUGUCUGUCUCAACCGUUUUUCUGCUGCUGCCAAUCCAUGUGAAAUAAAAAAAAAAAAUCCUAGAAAAAGAUAAAAGGUCAAAGCUGACCCUUAUGUAGUGUUAAGUGCUAAUGGCACAAAAUACAGAGAGUGAGCUUGAUUUUGUAAACAUAUAUGUAUUACAUGCAUUUCCAUAAAUAUGCCUGUAUGUGAGAUAAAGGUAUGAAAAUGUCAACUAAGAGUGAUGUAAGUACUGGUUGCAAUUGCAGGUGAUUGACUUUUAUUCUUGAGUCUGUUUUCCUUUUUCAUGUUUUUCGCAAUGGAUGCAUAUUGUCUCUGUACUACUAAAAAGGGUUACCACAGGGACUGGUACGCCUUAAAUAUAACUUCUGGAACUGGACCUGGACAUGCCAACGCUGCCUCUCACCAGCUGCAGGACUUUGAGUAAAUGAAAUUGAACUACCCUCUUCCCAGCAGGUGUUCUCGCUUGAUACACGCGGGUAAUAAAUUUCUUACUGGUUAGGAUUAAAUGGCACCAUAUGUAGGGUCUCAGGCACACUCAGUAGGGAUUCCUUGAUUAGGGAACCGAGCUCUGAGCUCAACCCUGGAUCCAAGGCAGUGUUUGAGAUCUCAGUGCCUCAGGGGCUCUCCCUGCUCUAACCCACGACCCUGACCUACAAUCCCGCCGGGGAGGGAGCCGCUGCCUCCUCUUGCCUUCGCACCUCGGUGGCUGGGGUGACUCGUUCUCCCCGCGGCCUCUUGAGGAUGAGGUGCAGUCUCUUCCCAGGCUCCACGAGUUUUCGGUGAGUAAAGCGAGGAGGCCGGGAUGGGCAGCGGGGAAGUAGGAACGGGGUGGCGCCUCACACCCUCCCCUGCUUGUUUGGGGUGCGGCGAGGGGAGGUGCGCCUGUGCAGGGGUUCGCUGGGCUGCGGUUGUGGGUUCCCGGUGGGCGGCCGGAAACUGAGACAGGAAGCCUUGGGGUGGGGUGGGUGUGUGUGUCUGUGUCUGUCUGGUGGGGGGGCUUGGCAGGCGAAGCCAAGCCCUCAAGGGCUGGGACAGGUCCUUCGUUCGCGGAGGGCACUAGUCAAGGGCACUGGAACGCGGAGGUGGCGGAGCCACACUCAGGACCGUGGGCGCCCCGGCCGCGGGGCCGCCUUGGCCCGCGCCCCCCCAGCCCCCGCGUGCUUAGCGCCGCAGCGCAGCGCCUUCGGCUGGUUUCUCCCGCCCCUGGAUGGUCCCUGUUCCCUCGGCUUCUGUCUACCACCCACCUGGAUGCCUGCAGCCGCUGGCCUCUCUCCCCCCGGGUGCUCAAAACCAGCAGCGCCCCGGAGAGGAGAAAGAGGGUCCCCCGUCCUUUGGGGCCGCGCGGGACCCGGGUGCGGGGGAUAGGCCCCCCACCAUCCAUUUCCCAAAAGUCGCCGCAGAUGUGCGGCCACCGGGAGUCACGUAGUGUGCGGCGAGCGUCGGAGCUCGGAGAGGCCUGGGCGGGGGUGACCGGGCGAAGCCAGAGUGCAGAGGCUUCUCACGAAAGGGGAAGCUCCUUGCGGGGGUGCAGCUUUCGGCCGAAAUUUAGCUCCGCUGGGGCUUGGGAUAUUUGCUUUUCCUCCCCAACGUCUGCUUUAUUCUCUUCCAAAGAGCAUGUUCUGUUGCCGGAUUCUGGGCAUUUUCCGACCUCGUCAAAAAGGAUAUGCCGGGAAAGGAACAUGCAGAUAGUUUAACAUUCUUUGGUUGGAGUCUGAGGAAGUGUCACCUUGACGCUAAGGAGACUUGGCGCUUUCAGGGAGUGUAAAACUUGCAAAAUUAAGAUCCCCCCCUCCGUCUUUCCUAAAGACAACUUUCUCUUCCCCUGCCCCAGCUUUCUUCAGCAUAAAGCCUUGAUGAGCCCUAGGCUGGAAUCACUGGAAGUUAAGGAGUCUGGGGGGGGGGAGAAAGAACUAGAAAGUCCUGGAAGUGGGGCGGGAGUGGCUUUAGAUUGAAGCAAAGGUCAGGAUGACCCCAGGGGAGAAGCCUUUGUCGAGUUUCCCCCCCCCACUUCCUUUCUCUCCCAUUCCUGCUUUCAGUCCUCACUCAGGCUUGUAGUUAACAGUAGUAUUUUUAGAUUUAAAAUUUUGCCAAGUGAAAUUUUUCCUUAAGUGUACGUGUUACAUGCAAAAAAAAAUACAUAAAUUACGUAUAUAUAUAUAUGAGGGGGUGAGAGGAAACUUUAGGAGGUGAUGUAUUUGUUUGCAUAGCUUGUGGUUUUGCCACUGUAUGCUUCUCUCCAACCUGAUGAAGUUGCUUAUAUUGAAUAUUUAUGGCUUGUUUGUGUGUCAGUCAUACCUCAAUAAAAUGGUUUUUAAAAAAGUUGCA
rnacentral:lncRNA from 1 species